CAAGACCCCCUUUGUAUAGAAUAUCAGCUUUGGUGCUGAUGUUGGGAAAUAGGUCCUCCUUCUUGA
rnacentral:tRNA from 1 species